CGGCGGACGGGUGAGUAACACGUGGGUAACCUACCUAUAAUACUGGGAUAACUUCGGGAAACCGGAGCUAAUACCGGAUAAUAUUUCGAACCGCAUGGUUCGAUAGUGAAAGAUGGUUUUGCUAUCACUUAUAGAUGGACCUGCGCCGUAUUAGCUAGUUGGUAAGGUAACGGCUUACCAAGGCGACGAUACGUAGCCGACCUGAGAGGGUGAUCGGCCACACUGGAACUGAGACACGGUCCAGACUCCUACGGGAGGCAGCAGCA
rnacentral:rRNA from 1 species